ACAAAAUAUGAUGUAUACAUAUAGAAAUAAAUAUGCUAUUGACAAAUAUUGGUCCAAUAUCAAUCAACCUAUGAAUAUGAUCCAAUUAAAUUAUUAUUUUGGACAAAAAGGCACCUUAGCUAGGAAGGAGGAGGAGGACAAGCUAGGGCUCAAGCACCCCAAGUGGCCUCCUUGUGCACGUCCCUAUGACAAAAGCAGCUCAGAGAAGAAAAAUAUAAUAGUUUUAUUUCUCAGUGACAUGCAUGAUAAAUUCAAGUCUGCUCUUCUUUUGGGCACUGCAAGAAUGGCCAUACAGAAUCUGUAACAUCUUUAUAUUGUGUUUAGCCUUGUAAAAUAUUAUUUUUAAUUUUUUUUCCCUCAAAGGGCUAAGGUGUAAAUAAUGUACUGGCUUGGCAGUCUUUUGAAUUUACGGUACAGUAGGGGGACAUCAUGCAGCCUAAUUUUUAAUAACAUAUGCCUGGCCUUGGUUAAACAAAUGCUUUUCUUUCAGGCGAGACAAACACUGAUAUCGGCCGUGCCCUUGGUUUGAGCAGGACUCCUGUUCAAACAAUAGUUAAGGGAAAAGAGCGGAUCUUAGACCAUGUGAAAGACGGCGAGUCAGUGAUGGCUGUUACACUAAAAAGUGUAUCUAGAUUAGGGAAGCAACACAACACCAAUAUUGUGGAGAUGGAGAAGUUAUUGACGGUCUGGCUCGAAGAUCAAAACCAGCGAAAUGUUCCUGUGAGCUAUGGUUUAAUUCAGGAGAAGGCAAUGGAGUUGCAUAGGGCAGUAGGGCAGUAGGGCUGAAGAGAGAGGAAAGUAGUGGAACUGAAGUAUUUACAGCCAGCAAAGGCUGGAUUCAUCGCUUUAAGUCUCGUGCAAAUUUGCACAACCUUAAGCUGCAGGGUGAGGCUGCUAGUGCAGACCAGGAUGCAGCAUUUCCUGCAUGUUUGGCAGAGGUUUUACUGCCGAUUAAGUCUUUAAUGUCGAUGAAAAAGGCUUAUUUUGGAAGCGCAUGCCUCGCCAUACAUACAUUUCUAAGGAGGAGAAGAUAGCACCAGGCCAUAAUGUCAGUAAGGAGAGACUGACUUUACUUCUUGGUAGUAAUGCUAGCGGUGACUUAAAGCUUAAGCCCUUGUUAGUCUACUUGGCUGAAAAUCCGAGGCCACUGAAGGGAAUUUUCAAGCCUCAACUCCCCGUCAUUUGGAAGGCUAACAAGAAAGCCUGGGUCACUGUUAACAAGAAAGCCUGGGUCACUGUUGCUAUCUUUGAGGAGUGGUUCAAUGAUCACUUUCUGCUGGUAGUUGAGUUGUAUUUGAAGAAAAAGGGUCUGCCAUUUAAGGUCUUGCUAGUGUUAGACAAUGCCCUUGGUCACCCUGGUCAUUUGGGUGAGAUUUAUCCCAAUGUGCAGGUAGUCUACCUUCCUCCAAACACCACAUUACUUUUACAACCAAUGGACGAGGGAGUCAUUGCUAGCUUUAAGGCAUACUACACCAUGAGAGCGUUUCGCAAUGUCCUCAAGGCCAUCGAAAAUACAACUAACAAGUGGAAUGUCAAGGAAGUUUGGAAGAAGUACAGUAUAGUGGAUGCUGUGAGGAAUAUUGACUAUGCUUGGAAAGAGGUUAAGCAAACUAAUUUGAAUGGGGCCUGGCAGAAACUUUGUCCAGACUUCGUAAUGAACUUUCCUGGCUUUGAGGAGGAAGAUAGUCUUAAUAGUGAGACCAGGAAAAUUGUUAAUUAUAGCAAGAGGCUCAAUUUGGAGGUCGAAGCUGAUGAUGUGACAGAGCUGCUGCAGAGAACGAGUUGUCAGCAGAGGAUCUCAUUGAGCUGGAGCAGCAGAUGAUCGAGGAGGAGGAGGAGGCACAACCCCCAGUGCCCCGCUUAUUAAGUGCUACAAGUUUGGCACAUGCUGUGGCCCUUAUUGAGCAAGGGCUGGCAAUAAUUGAGGCACAGGACCCUAAUUUGGAAAGAUAUUCCAGCUUUCAGAGAAAGGUUCAAGAUGCUAUGACCUUUUACAAGGAGACUGUAAAAGAGAAGCAGAUGGUAAAAAGCAUCCAAUCCACACUAGAGGUUUAUGGCUUUAAGAAAAGGUCUCCAGUACCACCUCUCACUCUUGAUGGAGAUGUGGUGACCACUCCUGACCCCACUGAAACUGUUGUGCCAGUAGUAUCUCCAGCAGCCUCCCCUGGAUCAAGCUUUGACCUUCAAAAGGAUAAGUCAUCACUAGAUGACCCACCAGCCUCUCCACCUCUAUCUGAAUUGCCUGACCUCCUUCCAUAUGUUGACCCACCAGCCUCUCCAACUCUCCCAUCACAAAAUGAACCAAUAGUACCAGCCUCUCCAACUGUCUGAAUUUGGCAGAACGUUACUAAUGAAUGAAGUAUCUUUCGGUGCUGAAUCCUUCAAAGGCUUUCCAAAGUCACCUGCAGCAUCUCCAUUAUCUUCAGCUUCAUCAGACACGGUGGUGCCAUCGUCAAACCCCAACUCUCCUUAUCAAUGUCCAUUAGACUUCCAACCAGAGGAAGAUUCCGAUUCUUAGCCUCUCUCUCCAUCCACAUACUACGUACUGUAGUACCAAGGGGCAGCUCGUGUACAUAUAGGCUCUGUGGAUCUGCAGCACUCAAAAUUUAUUGAUGUAUAUACAUACUGUACUAUAUACUGUAACAUUUAGUGUACAUAAUUACCUACAUGUAGAUAAUAUUUAAUACAUAUGUUAAGUCAUUCAUAAUGUCAUUCAUCUCAUUUGUGAAAUAAUAAAUACUGUAUGCUUGUAUGAGUAGUAGUAUGUACUUUAUAGUCCUAGUGAUGCAAUGAUUUCUAUUAAGAAAAAUUCUCUCGCUAGUCUUCCAGAGAUAAAGGAGAAAGUUCCGUAUUAACAUUUUCACCCAAAAUAAAACAAGAGGGAUGGAUUCAAUUUUUAAAUGAAAGGAUCAAACUGGACUGGAACAAUAUGGAAUGUAGGUAGUACUACAAGGAUUAGUAUACUUUACAUAACACCCUAAGGAUUAAAGGUAGGCUUUCUUCCCUUUACAGUAUUUAAUUAGCUUAGUUAUUUAAAAUCAGAGGAAACCAUUCCUUUGUACUUUUGGUAAUGGAAUUAGGCCACAAAUUCUCUUAUACGUUAGUUUUUAGGUACAAGCUAAAGGAUUCCUUUUUCUUAACAAACUAACUGAACUAGCCUCGAGUGUUAUGCACAAUUUAGGUGAAUGGUAGCUUUAUAAUAAAGAUAAAAUUACAGUAUUAGUCAGUUAGCCACGCAUGUUUAAGUAUUGGAUGACUCCUGCAGCACUAGUCUAGAAACUAUUUAGUGGUACACAUGCUUGAUAGAUUAGUUACUGGCAGGAUAAAAGUCCCCCAAAGUCAUUAGGAUAUAUUCUUCGAUGGGCCAAAACAGGAGCUAUGCAAAUAAAACUGGAUGAAAUGCUCCAACAAGCUUCAAACAAAAAUUUCAUUCCAACCUUAGCAUUUACACAUGUAACACACAAACAUAAUUAAUGCACAGGUCAGUCUAGUUCUUAAAAAUGCUAGGAUAACUUCACUAACUCUGAAGACACUAGUCUGCACAACCCCAAAUAUUUUCAUACUAAUCGAAGCCUUUCCCUGUUGUUUUAGCAACAUUAUGAGUGACUGAACAAAAAAUAAACCAACACAAACUGCAAUUUAGCAACAUUAUAAUGAAUGAAUAAAAAAUAAACUAACACUCAUUAACCUAAAAAAUUUUUAAAUAUAUAAAAUUUCUAUUUGAAACAACUUUUAUU